CUUUAAAGAGCACCAAUUAUGCUAAUAAAUUGGCACGUUAGCACGUAAAUGCAGUAUCCCAUAGUACAUACAUGUUAUUAAAACUUGAACUAAUGCAUUGUGAGUCUUAUAAAUUGCUUACAUACCUCACCGAUUUCCCACUGUCUGAAAAACGCUCGGUUUAGUUCCUGUCUCCGCCUCCCAAAAUGUCUAGUGUAAUCGGAUUGGUCAGAUGACUACUCAACUGUUAUUGGUCAGCUGGGUUCGUCGUGUGUUUGAAAGGUUACGCCCCUGACUACGUGUGGGUUGACACACCGGUUCUGACUGAGAGAGUCACAGCCUCAGAGGCAACGUAAACAAGCGUUAUAUUUCUCUAUAAACGAUGGUGUCUGUACUGCCUUACCACUUCGAGCUCGAUCCAGAGAGUUCAGAAGGCCGUUACGAUAUAAACGAUCUCCGUCAAUGAAUGCGAUUGGAUUUAACUUUUUUAGGUGUCCUUAGCUCUGCCAGAAUGCUAAACGAAGACGAAAAUGUGUUGCAAAGACAUCCAAAAGGUUUUAAGGAGAAUGCAACAGGUUCCAGGGCCUCUUACCUGCGUGAUUCAUCAUCCAGGUUUUGCACAAAUUGUCUAAAUCCCUACACACAGAACAUUUAUUGUACCGACUAUAAGCCUUUGAGGCGCAGGACUAGAAUAUGCUUGGAGCUUCCUGAUCGGAAUGUUGGCUUCCGACGACCCCUGCACUGAAGAUGGCAUGCAAUCACGUCCUCCUUUGAAGGUCUCUCAAACUGUGAUGCCAGGUCCAUUGGAAUCGGGGUUUCCUUCAGCUUAUCUU